rnacentral:misc_RNA from 1 species
CCUCUUUUUUAGCUGUUCCUAGUAGUUACUAGUAGGAUAGGGGACCAAUAAUUGUUGUUGAUCCCUGUAUUAUACCACUACUGGUCCUCCCUCGUUAGUUAUCCCAUAAAGGGGAAGGGACAGAAAGUGGAAAAAGAAAAAUCUGAUAUAGAUAUGUUGUUAAUUGAUAGACGAAGAUAGCUUGUAAUGUUAUUGAGCACAUGAUUAUAGUAGAAUGGAGACCUUCUAUGGAUUUUAUGAUGUUGGCGAAUUGGCUUAGGUGCGCCUGUUUGUCCUUG